AUGGCGAAAUGCUUCCUGCUGCUCGCCUUCUUGGCGUUUCUCCUGCCGGCGGCCUAUGCGACGUGCCACCCUGACGACCUUCAAGCGCCGCGGGGCUUCGCCGGGAAGUUGACACUACUCGAGGGCCUCACCGUUGUCGAUCGUUCACUAGGUAUUGCUUUCUCUAACUUGCUAUUUGUUAGAUCUGGAAGUGGCAACAUUGUAUCUGGGAGCGGCAACACUGUUGUAUCUGGGACAACAACAAUGUUUCUGGGAGCAACAACACAGUCACAUCUGGGAGCAGCAAUGUCAUACUUGACACCAACCAUGUCGUAA
rnacentral:rRNA from 1 species